rnacentral:rRNA from 1 species
UACGUAGGGUGCGAGCGUUGUCCGGAUUUAUUGGGCGUAAAGAGCUCGUAGGCGGUUUGUCGCGUCGGCCGUGAAAUCUCCACGCUUAACGUGGAGCGUGCGGUCGAUACGGGCAGACUUGAGUUCGGUAGGGGAGACUGGAAUUCCUGGUGUAGCGGUGAAAUGCGCAGAUAUCAGGAGGAACACCAAUGGCGAAGGCAGAUCUCUGGGCCGUAACUGACGCUGAGGAGCGAAAGCAUGGGGAGCGAACAGG